AUGGUGUUAAGAGACGACAAGGUAGUUAUCAUCUUCUCUUCUUGCAGGCAGUUAUUCUCUUGUCGGGAUGCACUGGAAGCUGAAUUAUGCGCAUGCAUGGAAGGUUUAUCUUUCUCCAUCCAGAGAAGUAAGUUACCAGUGCAGAUCGAGAUGGAUUCUAUAAUUGUAGUGAAAUUGAUCCAGGCUUCAGAGGUUGACAGAUCCGUUUACUCGUUCAUCAUCAAGCAUAUUAGAUAUCUUUUGUCUCUACGUGAAAAUUGUAUUACUCAUGUAAGUCGUAGCCAAAAUAAAGUUAGUGAUAGCUUAGCUAAGUUUGCUCGUAUUAAGGGUAGAACCAUGACUUUGUUAGGUUCUUGCCCUCCUGAGACUUUGGAACUGGUUGUGAUUGAUUGUAAGGACAUUAGGUGA
rnacentral:rRNA from 1 species